GGAAUGUGGCUCAAGCGGAAGCGCGCUCGCCUGGCAUGCGCCGGGUGCUGGGUUCAAUCCUCAGCACCA
rnacentral:tRNA from 1 species